rnacentral:rRNA from 1 species
GAUGAACGCUAGCGACAGGCCUAACACAUGCAAGUCGAGGGGCAGCACGAGGUAGCAAUACUAGGGUGGCGACCGGCGGACGGGUGAGUAACACGUAUGCAACCUGCCCGUAAUCGGGGGAUAACCCGGAGAAAUUCGGACUAACACUCCAUGUAUCUGUAUUAUUGCAUGAUAAAACAGAAAAACGCAAGGAUUACGGAUGGGCAUGCGGAUGAUUAGCUGGUUGGCGGGGUAACGGCCCACCAAGGCGACGAUCAUUAGGGGUUCUGAGAGGAAGGUCCCCCACAUUGGAACUGAGAAACGGUCCAAACUCCUACGGGAGGCAGCAGUGAGGAAUAUUGGUCAAUGGGCGAGAGCCUGAACCAGCCAAGUCGCGUGAGUGAGGAAGGUUUUCGGACUGUAAAGCUCUGUCGAGCGGGAAGAAGUGUACCAUGGCUAAUAUCCAUGAUAUUUGACGGUACCGCUAGAGGAAGCACCGGCUAACUCCGUG